rnacentral:rRNA from 1 species
UACAGAGGUCCCAAGCGUUGUUCGGAUUCACUGGGCGUAAAGGGUGCGUAGGCGGUCGGGUAAGUCUGAUGUGAAAUCUCACAGCUUAACUGUGAAACUGCAUUGGAUACUAUCCGGCUAGAGGAAUGGAGGGGAGACUGGAAUACUUGGUGUAGCAGUGAAAUGCGUAGAUAUCGGGAGGAACACCAGUGGCGAAGGCGAUCACCUGGGGUUGUUCUGACGCUGAGGAGCGAAAGCUAGGGGAGCAAACGGG